AUGGACUGGUGGAAGCAUGCCAGGGAAAACACGCCACCGGGACCUCAUAAAGCCCUGAAAUCCGCUGCACUGCUCGUGCCCUGGAUGGUUUGCAAACACAGGAACAGCUGUGUCUUCGACAACGCAACACCAUCCAUGAACACGCUUCUCGACAGGAUCAAGGACGAGGCAUCCUCUUGGGCGGCUGCUGGGGCACCCGGCCUCCGGCUGGUACUGCCACAAACAUGGGAUGUACACUAA
rnacentral:rRNA from 1 species